rnacentral:rRNA from 2 species
UACGUAGGGGGCAAGCGUUAUCCGGAUUUAUUGGGCGUAAAGAGCUCGUAGGCGGCCGAUCGCGUCGGAUGUGAAAGCUCGGGGCUCAACCCUGAGAGGCCAUUCGAUACGGAUCGGCUAGAGGUAGGUAGGGGAAAGUGGAAUUCCUGGUGUAGCGGUGAAAUGCGCAGAUAUCAGGAGGAACACCGGUGGCGAAGGCGGCUUUCUGGGCCUUACCUGACGCUGAGGAGCGAAAGCUGGGGGAGCAAACAGG